ACUAUGAAGGAGAAGUUGUAAGGUCAGAAGACAUAGAGUUUAAACAGAAUUAUCCAGAGGAGAUCGUAGCACCGAGUCAGGUAUGGAAAGAGAAGAUAAUUAUACAUGAAGAGGAGGCGCUGCCGGAAGUACCGACUACGCCACCCAACGAAUCCCAGGACAAUUGAGAAAAUGAAGAGUCCCGUUCGGUGGACUUAAAAACACCGAACGCCUUGUCAAGAGGUAAACUUGGUAGUUAUCCUUUUCCUUUUAAUUAUUUUAAACAGUUUGCUUAGUUAAUCAUGUUCAUGCUAUCCUAAAAAGAAUAUAAAAAUGUGAAAAAAUAGUAGAGAAUACGAGUGGCAUGAAACCCAUAAUUACAUUCACUGUGGUGGCAUAAAAAUAAAAUAAAUAUUUUUCUACUUUAUAAAAUAAAAAUAUAAAAACAGGGAGUAAUAAUUAUUAAGGAGUCUCAACAUGAUAAAGGCUAGAUAUUUAUGCUAACACUUAAUCAGUUCCACAAGCUUUGUUGUCUAUUUGAGCUCCACAGAAUUUAAGAAUCAAGAAGACUAGCAGACGGAGGACAUUCUAAUCGCUGCCAGAAUGCUGCUGACUUUCAAAUACACCUCUGCCACCUGCUAGCUACAUCAAGAGAAAUUACGUCAAAAUUCAGCUUGGGGGAGAGCACCCCCAUUUAUCCCGCUA
rnacentral:lncRNA from 1 species